GACGAACGCUGGCGGCGUGCUUAACACAUGCAAGUCGAACGGAAAGGCCCUGCUUGCCGGGUACUCGAGUGGCGAACGGGUGAGUAACACGUGGGUGAUCUGCCCUGCACUUCGGGAUAAGCCUGGGAAACUGGGUCUAAUACCGGAUAGGAGCCAUUUUUAGUGUGAUGGUUGGAAAGUUUUUUCGGUGUAGGAUGAGCUCGCGGCCUAUCAGCUUGUUGGUGGGGUAAUGGCCUACCAAGGCGGCGACGGGUAGCCGGCCUGAGAGGGUGGACGGCCACAUUGGGACUGAGAUACGGCCCAGACUCCUACGGGAGGCAGCAGUGGGGAAUAUUGCACAAUGGGCGCAGGCCUGAUGCAGCGACGCCGCGUGGGGGAUGACGGCCUUCGGGUUGUAAACUCCUUUCGCUAGGGACGAAGCUUUUUGUGACGGUACCUAGAUAAGAAGCACCGGCUAACUACGUG
rnacentral:rRNA from 1 species